rnacentral:rRNA from 1 species
GACGAACGCUGGCGGCGUGCUUAACACAUGCAAGUCGAACGGAAGGGCCCUGCUCUUGUGUGGUGCUCGUGUGGCGAACGCGUGAGUAACACGUGAGUAACCUGCCCUUGACUGUGUGAUAACUUCAGGAAACUGGGUCUAAUACCGGAUAGGAGCUCCUGCUGCAUGGGGUUGGUAGGAAAGUGUCGGCGGUGCGGGAUGGACUCGAGGCUUAUCAGCUUGUUGGUGGGGUAGUGGCUUACCAAGGCUUUGACGGGUAGCCUGCCUGAGAGGUGGAACGGCCACCUUGGGCCUGAGGGACGGCGCAGACUCCAACCGGAGGCAGUAGUCGAGAACAUGGCACAAUGGGCCGAAGCCUGAUGCAGCAGCGCCGCGAGCGGGAUGACGUGCUUCGGGGUAAAAACCGAUUUCGACGGUACCGAGGCGUGAGUGACGGUAAUGGAUAAAGAAGCCCCGGCUAACUACGUG